UCUCCAACACCAGGAGCUUUGAGAGCAGCAAUUUUCAAUGCUCCUCUUAAUUUGUUGACAACAAGUGUGGCUAGAGCUUCCUGUUCUAUGUCUUCAGCGAUUACCAAUAUUGGGUAUCCAUUCUUGAUUGCUUCUUCCAAAACAUUGACUAAAUCCCUUGCAUUUGUUAUCUUUUUGUCUACCAGAAGCAGCUUGCAGUUUUCAUAUUCAGCUACCAUCUUCUCAUUGUCCGUAACAAAGUAUGGAGAGAUAUAGCCACGGUCAAAUUGCAUGCCUUCCACGACAAAUAAGUUGUUCUCAGAACCCCGCCCUUCCUCAAGAGUUACUACACCUUUCCUACCCACUUUACUCAAGGCUUCUGCUAUCAUAUUUCCUACUUCAUAGUUGUUUCCUGCACUAACCGCAGCUACAUCUGCUAGUUCACUGUCCUCGACCUCUUUUGACAAUUUCUUUAGCUCAGAAACCAGGGCUUUGGUGGUCCUGUCAAUGCCCCUGGCAAUCUGAAUAGGGUUUGCACCAGCUGCAACAACCUUAACACCCUCCGUUAUGAGCCCCUGUGCCAAAACAACGGAUGUAGUUGUUCCAUCCCCAGCCAAGUCAUUCGUCUUUGAAGCAGCUUGUCUCACCAAACUUGCACCAAUAUUCUCAACAGGGUCUUCUAGUUCAACCUCUCUGGCCACAGUAACACCAUCAUUUACAAUUUUCGGAGAGCCAUAUUUGCUCUCAAGAACUACAUUUCUUCCUUUUGGACCAAGAGUUACACCUACUAGAUCUGCAAGCUUGUUAACACCUGCUUGGAGCUUCUUAAUGGCAGAACCAUCCUGAUUGAAGUGUAACUCCUUGGCCAUAGCCUGGAUCUUGGAAUCAUUUCUCUUCUUUAAAACAUUAUUCUUUCUCCUGCCCCCUAAUGAAGUCAAAGAUAUCCCAGAGAAUGAAGAUAACGUUUCACAAGAAUUGAUAAUCUUUUUCUCAACUGUCUGGCUAGUGGAAGAAAUUGAACACACGGAGGUAAAUGUAGCAGCCAUGCUCCACAAAAGACCUGAGAGCUCACUCGUGAAGUGGGCGAAUGUGGAAAUGGUAGAGCACAAGGGGGAG
rnacentral:misc_RNA from 1 species